UACGUAGGCAGCGAGCGUUGUUCGGAAUUACUGGGCGUAAAGAGUGUGUAGGCGGUGCUCUAAGUUCGGUGUGAAAUCUCCCGCUUAACUGGGAGGGUGCGCCGGAAACUGGAGUGCUCGAACUGGGAGAGGAAAGCGGAAUUCCCGGGUGUAGCGGGUGAAAAUGCGUAGAUAUCGGGGAGGAACACCUGCGGUGUAGACGGCUUUCUGGACCAUUGUUGACGCUGAGACACGAAAGCGUGGGUAGCAAACAAGG
rnacentral:rRNA from 1 species